CUGAAAACAGCCCAAAUGAGGUUCACGUGUCACUGUGGCGUUCGCCUUACAGGGGUAGUACCCCUGUUUCAACACCUGAGGCGGUGCGUCAAGCGCCGCCUCUUUCUAAUCAUAUAUUGCGAUAAAUGUGGAGAAAGGCUGGUGGGAGGCCAGGCCGUGGCCGCACACCUGGCGGGUGCGGCCCAUCGGGCCCGUUACUGGGAGGGCCGGCAAGUCGGGCUGCUGUUGCAGUCCGACUACCGGGACGCCAUGGAGCGUAUCCGGACCCUAUGACGUAUGUAUGAAGGUCUGGAGCUAGCUGCCGUCUUCGGGAUGUGCCAUUUGUUUUCAAAAUUAUUUGUAAGUACUUGUA